GUAGGAUGCCAUCAUUUGGAAUGACUGUAAAAUCCUCCCAAGUAGAUUUACCAAAGACAGAUGGGAAUGCAGGCACUGCACUAUCAAGUGCUUCUUCAGAAAUAUCUCUUGAUGGUUGGGAUGGCAUUGCUCUUGAAUACUCCGUUGAUUGGCCCUUACAGUUGUUUUUUACCCCAGAUGUGCUCUCUAAGUAAGACUCCACUACUAGUGCUACUUGCAGAUGCCAUUCUUUGUUUUAGUUUCAAUAUAUUUGGUAAUUGUCCCUAAAAAUUUCUAAUGCUUUUCUAUUUUGGAGAAGCUUUUUGAGGAAUCAGCUGCUGAAACAUUUUAUUAAGUAUUGAACGUUCUUGAUGUGAAUGCAUGCUAACAUCAGGUGUACCCCAGGUACUGCAGGGUCUUCCAAUAUUUGCUGCGGCUAAAGCGAACACAAAUGGAAUUGGAGAAAUCAUGGGCCUCUGUGAUGCAUCAAGAUCACACAGAUUUUGCCAAGCAUAGGAAUGAUCAUGUAAAGGGCUCAGUAUCUCAGCAGGGAAGGCAGCGAUCUAGACCAAUGUGGCGUAUUAGAGAGCAUAUGGCUUUCUUGAUUAGAAACCUUCAGUUUUAUAUACAGGUUAUGGUUUAUUCCAUUUAACUUUCACUUCCAUAUAUUCAUUAUUUUCCCAGAGAUUUGUUGUGCAAAAACCAUGCAAAAAAACAAAGCAGUAUAGAACAGUAUCUGUGCAUAACCUAAUGUAUUUUCUGUUUCAGGUGGAUGUGAUAGAAUCCCAAUGGAAUGUUUUGCAAGCUCAUAUUCAAGAUUCUAAUGACUUUACUGGACUUGUGGGCGUCCAUCAGGAGUAAGUUGAAUAAAUAAUUUCUUAUUGUAUAUCACUUCUAUGUUGUCAUGCUUUUGGAUGGCUCUCAGUUGUAAAAAUUGUCUAAUAUGCAUAGAAUCAUAUUAGAUGUACUUAAUGAGAAUGGUUGAGGCACGCUACUUAUGAAAUAUGAUGAAUGCAGGAAAACUGUAGGUAGGGGAAGGCCAUUUGAGAGCCACUUAGACUUGUUUAGUUUUUGUUUCUAGGCUUAUCAUUCCACAGUUUGAUUUAGUUUUGUAGUUAGAGAUCCUUGAUUGCUGAUUGUGAUGAUAGCUUGGAGCAGAAGAGCUCCGUAUAAAUUGAGGGCCAAGAAUUUACUAGGGAAUUGAAAGGUCUUUGUGACACCUUACCCACACUUGAUAGAAUAUGUGGUUUCCUUUUUGAAUAUUACAAGGCAAUUAAUGUUUAGUCAACUAUGAAUUGUUGUGGAGUUUGUUCAAUCUUUUAGAGGUUCAUGUUGCCUUUGUAUUUCUGCCAAGCACAUAACCGAAUCAUGGUUGUGCAUCGAUUUUUUUCUGUUCAUUUAAUUAAUUUGUUGAAGAGCUUGAUACUGUUGCUCUUACAAAUUUUCAGCUAUUCCCUGUAUGUGCUUUGUCCAUAUUUUCUAUUGCAGCAUAAUGCUCAUGGAAUUCUAAAAUUUCCUGCAGGUAUUUAUCAGCUUUAAUUUCACAAUCUUUCUUGGACAUUGGCUCUUUAUCAAGGAUACUGGACAGCAUAAUGAAACUUUGCCUUCAGUUCUGCUGGAACAUUGAGAACCAAGAAAGCAGUGAAAAUACAUCUGAAUUGGAACACAUUAUAGAGGUAAACAUCAUUGUUUUGCGAAAAUAAUCUCUCUUCUUGCAAUUAUUGGCAAGAAUAAUUUCCACAUAUUAUACUGCUGCAACUGUCCUGGGAAUUUACUCCGUUGUUGAUGCCAAAGUUGGUUUACCUGUCUGGUUCUCUGACAAUUGACUAGCCCUGCAUAAUUCGAGGAUGUAGGUUAUAUUGUUUGGCUUUCACAAGACUCCGUAGCUGCUUGCAUUAUUUAACAUGUUAUAUAAUGUUCCAAUAUGUGGACUUCAUCUUCAAUUAGGUUUUGUUUUACUUUGUUCAGGAAUUUAACAAGAAAUCAAACUCGCUAUACACGAUAUUGCGCAGUAGUAGGCUUGUUGGGAGCCAGCGAGCCCCAUUUCUUAGGCGUUUUCUGAUGCGUCUCAACUUCAACUCCUUCUUUGAGGUAAAAUCCCAGGCAAGACGCUGGGCUAGAUACUUAUAAUUUUUGCAUUGCAAUUUCUUAACAGUUUAUUGUUCAUUCCUCUCUCAACAGGCAACAGCAAAAGGUGUGCUGAACGUUGUAAGACCACGGCCUACACUUUCUGUUUUGAAUCAACAGUAGCAUAGCAUAUUUUUGUUCUACGGCUUCGAAGUGGCUCCUGCAAACUAUUUUCAGGAGCUGGCCACGUGAGCACUGGUAAAUUCGUUUUUGCUUCUUAAUUUUAAUGGAAGGACAGAGAAAAUGAGCUUUGUUAACGCUUGUCUGAAGACAGAUAUUCGUGUGUGUGUAAAUUGUAAUAUACAUAAAAUGUUUUUCCGAGUUAUUAUGUAGAUAAGGUAUUUUGGUCAACUCCUUGCUGGUUGAUUUUCUGAGUGGAUGAAAGCCAGGUACCUAUUUUGUGGUAUGGUUCGAGUCGAGGCCUGCUUGUUUCUUCGGGUCGACGUUUCGUCAGCUUUGUUGUCCCAAAAGGGUGAAACAAACAAACAAAUUACAAUCCUUGGCGAAGGGGAAUUAGGUAGCGAUUUUGAUUGGCGGCUUGGAAUUGUGGGUCAUUAGGUGAACCUUUUCUAUGUAUUGGGUCUGAAGCUGUCUUGUUAAAUUAAUUCAACUUUAUUAGUUUGUGUACAAGGAGAGUACGAUAGCAUCACGGCAUUGUUGUGA
rnacentral:lncRNA from 1 species